AUACGUAGGGGCAAGCGUUGUCCGGAUUCAUUGGGCGUAAAGAGCGUGUAGGCGGCCAGGUAGGUCGGUUGUGAAAACUAGGACGGCUCAACCUUCGAGGAGGUCGACCGAAACCAUCUGGCUAGAGUCCGGGAGAGGAGAGUGGAAUUCCUGGUGUAGCGGUGAAAUGCGCAGAUAUCGGGAGGAACACCGGCGGUGUAGACGGCUUUCUGGACCGUAGCUGACGCUGAGACACGAAAGCGUGGGUAGCAAACAGG
rnacentral:rRNA from 1 species